CUGGACUCUCCCUCUGGAUACAUCUUGCGGUCCCCACUGGCAGACGGAAGAUUUGGCCACCACAAGGCUGCCGCUGUGCCACUCGAGCCACCCUCAGCUUCAGUAAUUAUCGAGGGUUGGGGGUGUUUUACUAAUCUGUUGCAGACGUGACAUUUGAUGCUAUCAGCCAUGGAAUUUUCCACAUUUCGACUGACCGUGGGACUUGCUGGUGCAGCUGUUGUCUGGUUUGAUUCGAAUUUACCUUUAUUUAGGAAAUAAGAAGAAACGCAAGCUUUUCUAAGAGAGAGAGAAAAUAUUUGCUUUGAAGGAGAAUUUACCAGAAGGACAACAGUAAAGUUUCUGUCUUCUUCAAGAGAUUCAUUUCAUAAGACACUUUCUAUGAUGAAUGAAGCUGUAGGAAAUAUAACUGUCUAGUACAGCUUUUACACUCGUUUCUAUAAUAGCAUUUAGCUUCUGAUUGGAGUUGAUGUAAAAUGGAAUGUAAUAAAGAAAUAAUCAUUUCUCAACAUUUUAGAUGCUGUCAAGUAAUUCCUGCUCAAAAACUAUAAUACGUAGACAACUGUAAUUUUUAAUUGAAAUUGUUGAUAUCGUUCUUCACCAGAAUAUUGAAAUUGUGCAAUUUACAUAAUAAUAAUCUAAUUUGCAUAUUUAUUAGUUUUAUUUAAUGUGUUGCAAACAAAGUGUCUAAUCUGGUUUUAAUAUGAUCGCUAACCUUCCACCUCUAUUGUUCUUUAUGUGAAUAUAAUACACAUACUGGCCUUUGUAUGAUUUUUUUAUAAUAUGAAUUAUUUGCAUAUGAAUUCCAGUAAAAGCAUUUAAAAUGUUUUAUUUUUUAAGCUAACUACUAUUGAAUGUUUGUUUGUGAAGAAAGAAAAUCUCUUAAAUCAUCAUGUUAAGUUAGCUCUGUCAGCAAAGUUAUUUGUUAGCAUUAGAACGGGCAAAAUUAUGUGCGGUGAACAAUUUAUUGCAGAAUUUAGCUUUUUUGUUUACAAAUUUCCAUGUACAGAUUUAGAUUUUUACAAAUCUGUUCAUACUUCAGAAUUAUCUCAUUACUGUUUUAUGCAAACCUCCUUUCAGCAUAUGAAUUGUUCACAAAAUUUUUGCCAUAAUAAUACUGAUUCAUAUCAUAUGAUGGGCCAGGAAAUGAGGCUUAAUCUGCAGGAAGAGGUCCCUUUUUGUGAAAAAAGUUGUUUAGUCAGAAGCUAAAUUUUCUGUCAAAAACAGUUUUGAAGGAGAAUUUUUGACCAGCAGUACUCACAAAUACGUAGUUUUAGAGAGUGUAAUCUUUGGCUCCUUUCAUGGGAAGGAUAGUCCUGUGGUUAACAUUUGGGACUUAGAAGACCUCAGUUCCUUUUCCCUUCUGUACCACAGACUUCCUGUGUGACCUUGGGCAAGUCACUUAGGAUACGUCUACACUGGAGCUGAAAGUAUAAUUGCGCAAGCUUGAUCAAAUAGCAGUGUAGACACGCAGCAAAGACAGCAGGAUGCGCUAGCCACUCAAGUAUAUA